GGAAUUUUGCACAAUGGCCGAAAGGCUGAUGCAGCAACGCCGCGUGAGUGAAGAAGGCCUUCGGGUUGUAAAGCUCUGUUGACCGGGAAGAACGGCGUAAUCAGGAAAUGGGUUACGUUUGACGGUACCGGUAGAGGAAGCCCCGGCUAACUACGUGCCAGCAGCCGCGGUAAUACGUAGGGGGCGAGCGUUGUCCGGAUUUAUUGGGCGUAAAGGGCGUGUAGGCGGUCUGGUAAGUCGGGGGUGAAAACCCAGAGCUCAACUCUGGGAGUGCCUCCGAUACUGCUGGACUUGAGUGCUCUAGAGGGUAGUGGAAUUGCCGGUGUAGCAGUGAAAUGCGUAGAGAUCGGCAGGAACACCAGUGGCGAAGGCGACUGCCUGGGGAGUAACUGACGCUGAGGCGCGAAAGCUGGGGGAGCAAA
rnacentral:rRNA from 1 species